rnacentral:rRNA from 1 species
GACGAACGCUGGCGGCGUACUUAACACAUGCAAGUCGAACGAGUGGCUAACGGGUGAGUAACCCGUGGGUGAUCUGACUUGCACUUCGGGAUCAGCUUGGGAAACUGGGUCUAAUACCGGAUAUUGCAAGAUGAGCAAGCGUCCUAUCAGCUUGUUGGUGGGGUAAUGGCUACCAAGGCGCGACGGGUAGCCGGCUUGAAAGAGUGUACGUCAAAAUUGGGACUGAGAGAAGGCUAAGAAUGAUACGGGAGGAAGCAGUGGGGAAUAUUGCACAAUGGGCGGAAGCCUGAAGCAGCGAAGCCGCGUGGGGGAUGAAGGCCUUAGGGUUGUAAACUCCUUUCGACAGGGACGCGGUACCUGUAUAAGAAGCACCGGCUAACUACGUGCCAGCAGCCGCGGUAAAUC